rnacentral:siRNA from 1 species
GGAUGCUACAACCUUCAAUGUCCU